AUACGGAGGGUGCAAGCGUUGUUCGGAAUUACUGGGCGUAAAGCGCGCGUAGGCGGUCUGUUAUGUCAGAUGUGAAAGUCCCCGGCUCAACCGGGGAAGUGCAUUUGAAACUGGCAGACUUGAGUACUGGAGGGGGUGGUGGAAUUCCCGGUGUAGAGGUGAAAUUCGUAGAUAUCGGGAGGAAUACCGGUGGCGAAGGCGACCACCUGGCCAGAUACUGACGCUGAGGUGCGAAAGCGUGGGGAGCAAACAGGAUUAGAAACCCGGGUAGUCC
rnacentral:rRNA from 1 species